rnacentral:rRNA from 1 species
AUACGGAGGACGCGAGCGUUAUCCGGAUUCAUUGGGUUUAAAGGGUGCGCAGGCGGCCGUGCAAGUCAGCGGUGAAAGCCCGGGGCUCAACCCCGGAAGUGCCGUUGAUACUGCGUGGCUGGAAUGCGGUCGAGGCGGGCGGAACGUGGCGGGUAGCGGUGGAAUGCGUAGAUAUGCCACAGAACGCCGAUAGCGGAGGCAGCUCGCCAGGCCUGCAUUGACGCUCGGGCACGAAAGCGUGGGGAUCGAACAGGAGUAGAUACCCUGGUAGUCCACGCUGUAAACGAUGAUGACUAACUGUCGGCGAUAUACAGUCGGUAGCCAAGCGAAAGCGAUAAGUCAUCCACCUGGGGAGUACGUUCGCAAGAAUGAAACUUAAAGGAAUUGACGAGG